rnacentral:rRNA from 1 species
CAAUAGCGUAUAUUAAAGUUGUUGCAGUUAAAAAGCUCGUAGUUGGAUUUCUGAUCGAGACAUCAGGUCGGGUCCGAGAGGAUCAUGUACUUUGAUUUUGUUUUGAUCAUCCUUGGGGAGAGCAUUUCUGGCAUUCAGUGGUCGGGAUUGGGAUCCUCAUCGUUUACUGUGAAAAAAUUAGAGUGUUCAAAGCAGGCCUCGGCCUCUGAAUACAUUAGCAUGGAAUAAUAAGAUAGGACUUUGGUGGUCUAUUUUGUUGGUUUGCACGCCAAAGUAAUGAUUAAUAGGGAUAGUUGGGGGUAUUCGUAUUCAAUUGUCAGAGGUGAAAUUCUUGGAUUUAUGGAAGACGAACUACUGCGAAAGCAUUUACCAAGGAUGUUUUCAUUAA